CGCCCAAUAGUCUAAUGGUACGACAUCGCCAAGCUCUACAUUGUGCACAGGCGAAGAUGGAGAGUUCGAUUCUUUCUUGGGCUU